ACUAUAAAUGAAACUCGAUAUAUUAACAUCAUUUUAAGACUAUUUCCAAAUUAAGACUACAAAUUAAAGACUGAAAGCUGGAACAUAUAGAGCCGCUCCUAGGUCCGCGGCUUUUCUUUAUACCCAGUACUCAGUAAGUAAACAUACAUAUAUUUGAGUUUAUGAUUUAUGUAAUUUAUUCAGAAUAGUUUUGGUGGUGCGAAAGAGGAAAAUGAAUUUUUUGGCAAAAACAAAACUUUUAGAAAAAUCGGUCGAGCCAUUUGCGAUAUUUGUAUAUAUACAAAUGUAUAUUCGAUUUUGUCCGUUUCCAUUUUUCUUUUCAAUUUUUUUUUGUACAUUUGUCUUUUUUUUCUUUUCUUACACUAACAUCAUGCGUUUUAUCUCGACAGAGCGCGUGGAAGGCGUUGAAUAGCCACUGAAAUUUAAUUUAUUACUUCUGGCUAUAAAGAUCCCAUCUAAUCCAGAUGUCAAUCUGCUAGACAUCAUCAUUUUCUAAGAUUAUGCGUUUUUGGUUUUCGCGUAUCAUCAAAUUUGUAGAUGGCACUCCCCCCCUUUGUGAGGGGGAGCCAAAUUUGGAAAUACACUUGCAACAGUAGUCAAAUUUGGUUGCUCCAGCUCUAAUUGUCUCUGGCAUCUAGGCUCUCAGCGGGGCGGACGGACGAACAGACAGACAUGGCUAUAUCGACUCGUCUAUUACCGGGCACUACGCAUUUAAAUACAUAUACACUACUGGCCAAAAUAAUAAGUACACGCUUAUGAGCUUUCUUUUACGUCCUAUAAAACUUUUCUUAUAAACAUAAUUAAAAAAUCAAAUUUACUUUUAGUUUUCUAACCUACAAUAGACUAUAAAAAUGUUUAUCAUAAGCAUUUUUCAUUUCAAAUAAAUGUUUUAUGACCGAUUAAACCUUAAAAACAUAAACAAGUUCUGGCCAAAAUAAUAAGUACACAAAUUCUCCAAAGCGAAAAGCUAAAAGCGUAUCAAAAUUUUUCUACUUUUUUCUUAUAAGUUAUAAUCUGUUACUAGUAUCCUAUAUAGCAACACUUAUUUUGGAUGACUUCGGGCCAUUCUUCUUAGCAUACUAGCAAUAAGUUUGCGGCAAGUCUCCACUGGAAUCUCACAUCACGUUUUUUGCACAAAUUCUCCACAAUUUUUUUUUUACCAAAAUGCCCAUCCAUCAAAAAUUUAAGCAUAGCAUUUUAUAAAGGUGGUUCCCCACUUUAAUUUUUUAUUUAAAUAUUUGGCAAGACUGUAACCAUUCCAUAUAUAAACAAUUGGCAUCCAUUUACAAAAAUUCAAGCUAUACCAUAACAAACUAGCACGACACCAAUAUACUAAUUUUUGGCCAGUAGUGUAUGAACUUCAUGAAAAUGCAUGUCACAUUACAGCGACUGCUAUAGGAGAUUAUGUGUGCACAUCACAUCCUGUGACAAUAUAAAACAAGCUGCCAGAUGUUGCUGACCUCUAUAUGGAAUACGACCCCUCCCUCCACCCACCUCUCGCUCGCUCCCGCUGGUGAUCGUACUCGUUCACACUCUCAUUCCCACACCUUGAAUGCAAACUACAUGCGUAUUUCGCCUCUUUUUACUUAAUAUGUAGAUAUUUAAACGAAAAUAAAUUGAGUACCGGGUGUCUGAAGAACAACUACCUCGAGUAUAUGUAACUAUCAAAUCUUUUUAAUAAAAACGAAUUUUUAUUUUUAAUCGCUCGUGAAAACAAUUUUAUGGUGCUGGGUGCAGGUAUUUGCAUACCACACAGAUAUUUUUAAGGUACUGAAGUUACCAAAGUUCUACCACGAACUAUUUCGGACAGUCUCAUACUCGUAUUUUAUUUUGUGUAAAGAUAGUGAAUGACAAAAUGACAACUAUCUAGAACGAAUUGGAACGAUCCGGCUUCGUCUGUUGUGCGAUAGCAGAGAUAUGGUUUUCGUUUAUGGUUUAAGAUAAUGAAGAAGUGUCUCACAAUCAGCUGUCUUCCACAAUCUAAUGACGUCAAACAAUACCGGUACUAACUAAUUCCGAACGGUAAAUACCAGACGAAUCAGUGAUGAGGUAUCUGUAUCCAAAAAUAGAAUUUCGUCCGUAUGCAUAUACUAGUUUGUGUAUGUAUGUAUUAUUAUUAAAGGUAAAUAAGUAUGUAAACUUGUCAUUGCUUGUUCAAGCUAAGGCGGAAUAAAAUGCUUGCAAACGCAUGCACGUUUGUACGUAUGUACAUAAUAAAUAUAUCUAAGAACUCUACAGCAGUAAGAAAGGUCAGCUUCGGCCCGGACCGAUGAUUUAUGUAGAUAUGUACGAUUUCAGGUGUAAGUGACGUCUGGCAAACAGAUGGCCAUUCCGAUCUUUUCUUAAAUGGAAAUUAAAACGUUGUAUGGUUUCGUAAGGGAAUAAAGAUAUACACACGUAUGCGCAUAUUUGUGAAAUGUACAUAUGCAUGUAUGUACCGUUUAUCCGGCACAGAUUUCAUGUGCACAUAUGUCUGUACGUCUUAUAUAUUAUAAAUGUAUGAAUAUAUUCUUAAGCGCGUACACACACAAAUUAUUAUGUACAUAGAAAAUAGUACCACGCCUUGUAACAAAAAUAUACAUAUGAUGUAGAGUCCCGUAA